UGCUCGUACUGUCUCUCUCUCGUUUUUCACAAAAUGACGAAGGUAUCUUUGAAGGGCAGGUAUGAAAAUGACAAAAGCAGCGCAGCAGCUACUGUUGCCUUCAACGCCGGCGAUGUCAAGCUCCGGGCUUCCAUGACCGACGCCACUGUCGUCAAUGGCCCGAGCUUAAACGGCUUGGUUUUAGCUGUCGAGAAACCCGGCUUCUUCAUCGUCGACUACAACGUUCCCCAAAAGGAUUUUCGGUUUCAGUUUAUGAACACUGUUAAGGUUGCUGAUAAGCCCUUGAACCUGACAUACAUUCACAGCAGAGGGGAUAACCGCACGAUAUUCGAUGGGGCUCUUGUGUUUGAUUCAGCCAAUAAGGUUUCCGCAAAUUACAUGCUUGGUACAGGGAAUUGUAAGUUGAAGUAUACUUAUGUGCAUGGAGGGGCAACCACAUUUGAACCAUGCUAUGAUUUGGCAAAGAAUUCUUGGGAUUUUGCCGUUUCACAGAAGGUUUAUGCUGAUGAUGUGUUUAGGGCUACAUAUCAAACGUCAAGCAAGGCAUUGGGAUUAGAGUGGUCAAGAAAUUCAAAAUUUAAUGGCAAUUUUAAGGUCUCCGCAUCCCUCAAUUUGGGUGAGGAAUCAAAAGUGCCGAAACUAAUUGCUGAGAGUACAUGGAACUUUGAGAUGUGACAUGUUCUUUGUUUAUAAUUACAUUUGUUAGAUGUUGCAUUGGAUUGCUGCACCCCUAAUAGCUUUAAGCUUCUUUUUGUCCUUCAAUAUUGUUUAUAAUUGUGAUUGAGCUGAUUACCUGGCAAGGGGGCAGUUUCCAUGGCAUCAAUUGUCAAGCUGUUUAUUUCUGUUUUGCAAAAUGAUACUUUCUGUUGGUUUAGAAUCUUGUAGCUUUACCUAUGUAC
rnacentral:misc_RNA from 1 species